UCUGAACAGGCUUUGGAGAUGGACCGAAGACGGACACAUCCCAGUAUGUCUACUAUCAGGAAAGUUGUGAUUAUUCUGUUAUUAACUACUUCUGCCGAUGUUGCAUGUUGUCUGGAGAUGUAGACAAAGAAAUGAGAUUCUCUUCACGUUACGGGAAUAACAGGACACACCGACAGCGGGAGGAGGGUCCUGCUGCAGCCCAGCCAAACCUGCACUCCACUGUCCGGAACAGCUGUUCAACCUUGUCAGCCCGUGAGUGUAAUACCUCCUCCACUGUGUGAAAGAAAAAAAGAAAAACAAAGUUUUCCACACUGUUACGGAUUGAGCUAGUUGUUCGUGUGCUGAAUUACGAUUUCCCAAACACAUCCAGACACCUGCACCAAACAUACCCAUGUUUUCCAUUUUUCUUACCUUGUUUUUCCUCUCUGCUCGGCACUCAGCUUCAACGCUUCUCUGUCUGAAAGUUAGUUCGCCUCUUGCCUGCUGGAGGAACUCUUCGCGGGGUCCCCCAGCUGUGUCCUGCUUUUUGUGCUGAAAACACCUUGCUGGUUUUUCAGCUUCUUCUCAGCAGCUUUUUGCUUUAAACUCCACAAGGAAAACUUUCAAGAUYGAGUCACGCCGAGUUCAGCCUGCAGCAACUGCAUGCCAUAGACCACACUCAGACUUCCGUGAGCAAAGCUGUGACGACCAGCACCUUCAAGGCCUGUCUUGGCUGCCCAUCAACACGCUGAGACCCAGAGCUAACUUCUAACCAAAGCCUUGGGUGCUGAUUCCCCUCGUCCUCCGAUCUCUGCCACGGUAAGAGGCCGUCAGCCCUUAACCUACAUCUGGCAUCUGGCAAACCUCCGGCUCACACGGGCUCACUGGUUAAGAAAACAUAAUUCAUUAUAACUCUGUUCUUUCUUUCUUUCUCUCUCUUUCUCUAAGCCACAGCUUCACUCACACACCCACAUGGUUCAAAGUGUUUUUAAAUUUCAAGGUAUUAUUGUUAGUAAUAAUUAUCAAAACCUUAGAACUUUUUUGGUUUAGUCUAUCACGACAAGAGCUUUCAGUUAACCAAAUAAUCACUCAGUUGUAAUCAUUUUCUUCAAUUUUAUUUUAAAUAAAAACCUGGUUAUGUUGUAACAGGCAGAAAAUAAAACAAUGACUCUUUUGUAAGUUUUCUGUGAGUAUUUUGAUGACUGAAUUUUUUUGA